GUGGGGAAUCUUCCGCAAUGGACGAAAGUCUGACGGAGCAACGCCGCGUGAGUGAUGAAGGUCUUCGGAUUGUAAAGCUCUGUUAAUCGGGACGAAAGAGCCUAGUGUGAAUAAUGCUAGGAAGUGACGGUACCGGAAUAGAAAGCCACGGCUAACUACGUGCCAGCAGCCGCGGUAAUACGUAGGUGGCAAGCGUUGUCCGGAAUUAUUGGGCGUAAAGCGCGCGCAGGCGGAUCUGCCAGUCUGUCUUAAAAGUUCGGGGCUUAACCCCGUGAUGGGAUGGAAACUACAGAUCUAGAGUAUCGGAGAGGAAAGUGGAAUUCCAAGUGUAGCGGUGAAAUGCGUAGAGAUUUGGAAGAACACCAGUGGCGAAGGCGACUUUCUGGACGAUGUCUGACGCUGAGGCGCGAAAGCUAGGGGAGCGAACGGGAUUAGAAACCCGGGUAGUCC
rnacentral:rRNA from 1 species